rnacentral:rRNA from 1 species
UACAGAGGGUGCAAGCGUUGUUCGGAAUUAUUGGGCGUAAAGGGCGCGUAGGCGGCCUGUUAAGUCGAACGUGAAAUCCCCGGGCUCAACCCGGGAACUGCGUCUGAUACUGGGAGCUUGAGUUCGGGAGAGGGAUGUAGAAUUCCAGGUGUAGCGGUGAAAUGCGUAGAUAUCUGGAGGAAUACCGGUGGCGAAGGCGGCAUCCUGGACCGAAACUGACGCUGAGGCGCGAAAGCAUGGGGAGCGAACAGG